rnacentral:tRNA from 1 species
AAUAGAAUGGCCGAGCUUAGGCACUAAACUGUAAAUUUAGAAACAAGAUUUUUCUUUUCUAUUA